GCAGUAGACCGGCUUGUCGCUGGCCAUUUAUGGCAAGAGGAAAGUCCGGGCAACGCAGGACAUCCCGCUUCCUAACGAGAAGAGAUUCGCGAGGGUCUGAUAAUGCAGAAGAAAAUAACCGCCCCGAGCUUAGGGGUAAGGGUGAGAAGGUGGGGCAAGAGCCUACCAGGCCGGUGGUGACAUCGGUGCUGUGCAUUCCGGGAGUUGAAAGUUCAUGUAUACCGGCGAACAAAAAGAGAAGGCGGUCCGUCUGAGCCGGAGGGUAGAACGAUAGAGGCUCGUGGCGACACGGGUCGUAGAUAAAUGACAGGCAUCUGUGCAGACGUACGGAAACAGAACCCGGCUUACAGGCCUGCUGCUGGU
rnacentral:RNase_P_RNA from 1 species